CACGUAGGGCGCAAGCGUUGUCCGGAAUUAUUGGGCGUAAAGAGCUCGUAGGCGGUCCGUCACGUCCGCUGUGAAAACCCAGGGCUCAACCCUGGGCUUGCAGUGGAUACGGGCAGACUAGAGGCAGGUAGGGGAGAAUGGAAUUCCCGGUGUAGCGGUGAAAUGCGCAGAUAUCGGGAGGAACACCAGUGGCGAAGGCGGCUCACUGGUCCGGUACUGACGCUGAGGUGCGAAAGCGUGGGGAGCAAACAGGG
rnacentral:rRNA from 1 species